AAAAGAGCUCAAUGAAUGACAGCCACUCUUUCCUUUGCUUUGUAUUUUUGAAAGUAUGUUUGGUAAAAUCUGGAUAAUUCAGGACAUUGGCAUACAGUGCCUGACCUGGAAGCUGAUCUCCAGGAGCUGUCUCAGUCAAAGACUGGGGGUGAAUGUGGAAAUGGUCCUGAUGACCAGGGGAAGAUUCUGCCAAAAUCAGAACAAUUUAAAAUGCCAGAAGGAGGUGACAGGCAACCACAGGUUUAAAUGAAGACAAG
rnacentral:lncRNA from 1 species